UAAAUCUAUUAUUUUUCAUAACCAUCUUUAAUCCUGAAUGUGUUACCUUCAUCACCAUCAUCAACCCUAUUGAACUUGAAAGUUUUGCUUCAAGUAUAACAUAUACUUCAUCACUUAUUUCACUGUGUAGAGCAAUGGAGGAUGAGGACAACAAUUCUAGAGAGACCGGCGUUCCAUUGGGUGAUGCUUCGAUUAGAGGCAGUAAGGUUGAUUCAGAACUUGUAAUGGAUUAUAGUAAUGAAUUUGUUACUCGUGAGAUAUUCAAGAGUUAAGAUGAGUUAAUUCGAUGGGCACGUCAAGUUGGAAGAAGAAAUGGAUUCAUUAUUGUCGUGCAAAAAUCAGAUGGGGUGGUAUUCGUGGUAGGAAAUGGAUUCGUUAUUGUCGUGCAGAAAUCAGAUGGGGGUGGUAUUCAUGGUAGGAAGCCAAGACUUAGCUUAGCUUGUGAGAGGAGUGGAUCUUAUAGGGACACUUGAAAAAAUAGCAGGCCUAAGACAAAAAAAGCAAGACUGACUAGUACAAAAAAAUGUGAAUGUCCUUUUUUAUUGAAGGGUAAAAAAUUAGCCACAAAUGAUGAUUGGAUCUUGAUAGUUGUUUGUGGUAUGCAUAAUCAUCCUGCUGCAGAAUAUCUUGAGGGUCAUUCUUACGUUGGAAGGUUGUCACAUGAGGAAACCUCUUUGUUGGUAGACAUGUCGAAGAGUAUGGUACGAUCGAGUGAGAUAUUGGUUACAUUGAAACAACAUGAUGAUGCAAAUGCUUCCACAAUGAAAACAAUGUACAAUGCACAUCAUAGGUAUAAAGUUGCUGAGAAAGCUAGGAGAUCUCAAAUGCAACAACUAUUAGGUCAGUUAGCGAUGAACAAGUACAUUGAGUGGCAUAGGAGUUGUGCAGAUGCUGAGACAGUGACUGAUUUGCUCUUUGCACAUCCUACUAGUUCGAAUUUGUUAUGUGCAUUUCCAAAAGCAUUGUUGAUGGAUUGUACUUAUAAGACCAAUCGAUAUCGGUUGCCCUUUCUGGAGAUUGUAGGUGUGACAUUGAUAGACAUGACCUUUUCAGUUGCAUUUGCAUACCUCUAGUAUUAGAAGGAGGACAACUACACAUGGGCACUUGGUAUUUUGUGUAGUGUCAUGGAUGAAAAUACUUUUCCUUCUAUUAUUGUCACAGAUAGAGAAUUCGCUCUUAUGAAUGCCAUAUGUACGGUGUUUCCUGCAACUACAAAUUUGUUGUGUAGAUGGCAUAUUGGAAAAAAAUAUGCUUGCUAAUUGCAAAAAGAUGUUUGAGACAAAGGAUAAAUGGGAAAUGUUUAUAAUGGGUUGGAAUAUGUUGGUUAUGUCAUUGUCUGAAAAAGUAUACAUGCAACGACUGUCUUUGUUAUAUAGUGAGUUCAAUACUUAUCAAGAUGCACUUCAUUAUGUUACCUCAUCUUGGUUGGAUACAUACAAGUCAAAAUUUGUGGCAGCUUGGACUGACACAUUUAUGCACUUUGGAAAUUCUACAACAAAUAGAUAAUGAACAUUUAAAUUUAUUAGUUGUUUGGUUUUUUAUAACAUUAUUUUUA